rnacentral:rRNA from 1 species
CGAACGGGUGAGUAACACGUGGGCAACCUGCCCAAAGAGGGGAGUAACACUUGGAAACAGGUGCUAAUACCGCAUAACCAUAGUUACCGCAUGGUAGCUAUGUAAAAGGUGGCUAUGCUACCGCUUUUGGAUGGGCCCGCGGCGCAUUAGCUAGUUGGUGGGGUAAAGGCUUACCAAGGCAAUGAUGCGUAGCCGAACUGAGAGGUUGAUCGGCCACAUUGGGACUGAGACACGGCCCAAACUCCUACGGGAGGCAGCAG